UGGCACCUCUGUGGUGUGUUAUCAAUGGCUGUGGUAUUGCCACCGAGUGGCUGAAUUGAGGAGCAUGCUUCUGAUCCAACCGUGAGAAUAGCUCUUGCUGGCCAAAUGGGGCAAAGGUAAGAAAAGCAGGCAAGAAGGGGUUUGUGAGCACGUGACUGAGGCCCGCACUGAGAACCAGUGGGGUGCAUUCACAGAGCUGCCCUUCUCAGACUAUGAUCAGAGCGCUGGGGGGUCUAUCGCUAUUGUCAAUAUUGGAGGAAGGGACACUUGAAAGAAUAGGACAUGGAUUUGGCCUUCAAGGAGCUUAUAGGUUAAUGGAGGAAAUCAACCUGCCAACGAAUACCUGUCAUUCAGAGGAGAGUGACACAGAGUGUACCUGAGGGGCAGAGCGGGGAGCUCUCAGCCCAGAAGCAGCAGCAAUGAAUUCUGAUUUGUGGGGUCAAACAAUCAGUCUUUGGAAAGAAGGAAAUGAGAGGAUAUUUUUCCCCAAAAUCUUCUGUGAGAAUGCCCUAGAAAUAAUUCCUGGAAAAGAGACACUAACAGAAUCUCACAGCUGGAUGGGACCAACCAAAGGUGAAUAUAUUCUAACCUUCGUGACACAGAAAUUAAAUCCUAAGCAAAACUCCCAUAGCUUUAAAGAAGUAAAUUCCCAUUCCCACACCAGGGAGCAGACGCUUGGAUUCAUUUCACUUCACGACCCCUUCAGGAAAGCCGAAAUACCGACUGAGAAACAUGCGCUUUAAGGUGUUAAAAUUGAGGUCUGUGAAAUCCCU
rnacentral:lncRNA from 1 species